AAUACUUGACACUCGCUGAAAGGUUGCAAAGAUACGACAAUUACUGGAAUGGACGUUGGAUUGAAGCAUUCAUUAUCAUUCAAUGUGAAACUUUUUGUAAAGAAGAUCACCAUUAAAUUACUGGAGUAAAUAUGUGACAUUUUGAUUACGCACUUGACUGCCUCUAUUCAGAUUACUGGAACUUACUUUCGAUUAGGAUUAAAGCCGUCUGCGAAAAUACACAUAACAUAUACGCUUAACUCAUGGAAAUGCGAAUCAAUUAAAUUUUCAAACUGCUACCGAGCGCCAACGCGGGCAUAUACGACGACGAUGACCUUGCCAGCUACCUGUCUCAGUCACAGGGUGACGACAUCCGGUAUCAGGGGGACUUCCGGGACAAGCGUGGCAUGUGCCGCCCGGGAUUCACCUACCAGGCCAUACUGAGGGACUGCGUUCCCUCCCUCGGGGCGCUUCGAGACAGGAAUCGUACCGGUAGAGGCAGACGUGGUCUGAUGUCAUGGUAUAGGUAACCUACUGUUCUGACGUCAUUGUUCAAGUAGACAUCCGGUGCAAGAAGGUCACCACGUGGUCAUCAUGAUUGUGUUUGUAUCACGUGUGUAUCUCGUGCAGUUAUUAAGCACUUACAUAAUGUGACCAUAUUGAAUCGAACAUCGACAUGUAAUUGAUUUUUUAUCGUUCGUUCCUUUAGUGCCUGUUUUUGAAACAUGCUUACUUUUGAGGAACAACAACUUUUCAUCAGGUUGUGAAUUUAAUAAGAAUUGUCGAACGUUAUUAAUUGAAUCUGCUUUAGUUUUAGUCACAUAUGAUAAAAAUAGGUAUUCACCCUUUUCUCGAUCGCGUUUUAGCUAAUGUUUUAGCUAGUGCAUGUCUUUUAAAUGUGAAGAAACACGAGCAGCUUUCUCUUUAUUUGUAGACUACACUCGUUGACACUCUGACUUAUGUAUCUUAUUACAUAUUUCACGAACCCACACAUGCAACUGUGUUUUUACAUACGUAUAAAUACACGUGUACACUUAAAGUAAUCGACAUUAAAUA